rnacentral:rRNA from 14 species
CGUAGUCCGGAUCGCAGUCUGCAACUCGACUGCGUGAAGUCGGAAUCGCUAGUAAUCGCGGAUCAGAAUGUCGCGGUGAAUACGUUCCCGGGUCUUGUACACACCGCCCGUCACACCAUGGGAGUGGGUUGCACCAGAAGUAGCUAGUCUAACCUUCGGGAGGACGGUUACCACGGUGUGAUUCAUGACUUGGGUGAAGUCGGAACAAGGUAGCCGUACUGAA